GAUGAACGCUGGCGGCGUGCUUAACACAUGCAAGUCGAACGAUGAAGCCCAGCUUGCUGGGUGGUUUAGUGGCGAACGGGUGAGUAACACGCGAGUAACCUGCCCUUGACUCUGGGAUAAGCCCGGGAAACUGGGCCUAAUACCGGACAGGGGCGCCUGUCGCACGACGGGUGCUGGAGAGAUUUUUCGGUUUUGGAUGGACUCGCGGCCUAUCAGCUUGUAGGUGAGGUAAUGGCACACCAAGGCGUCGACGGGUAGCCGGCCUGGGAGGGGGACCGGCCACCCUGGGCCUGAGGCACGGCCCAGACUCCUACGGGAGGCAGCAGUGGGGAAUAUUGCGCAAUGGGCGGAAGCCUGAUGCAGCGACGCCGCGUGCGGGAUGACGGCCUUCGGGUUGUAAACCUCUUUCAGUAGGGAAGAAGCGAAAGUGACGGUACCUGCAGAAGAAGCACCGGCUAACUACGUG
rnacentral:rRNA from 1 species